UGGGGAAUCUUGCGCAAUGGGCGAAAGCCUGACGCAGCGACGCCGCGUGGGGGAGGAAGCUUUUCGGAGUGUAAACCUCUGUCAGGGGGAAGAAUGGGCCGGGGAGGAAAUGCCUCGGUUUUGACGGUACCUCCAAAGGAAGCACCGGCUAACUCUGUGCCAGCAGCCGCGGUAAUACAGAGGGUGCGAGCGUUGUUCGGAAUUACUGGGCGUAAAGCGCGCGCAGGCGGUCCUUUAAGUCUACCCGUGAAAUGCCGGAGCUCAACUCCGUGCACGCCGGGGAGUAC
rnacentral:rRNA from 1 species